GCACAAGGCCAACAAAAAAUAAAUGUUAAAGUGCAUUCUCUAAAAUAUCUAAAGCUGCACACAGAAACACCGAAUAUAUAACCACUGUUAAGCUGUUGUCAGGCAGAUGUUAAACGUAAGGUUAAGGUGUCAAGCAAAUAACUGAUUGGGCUGUAUCAGUUUAAUUCCACUGUGGCACAUACGAUACCUUUUAAGGAGGCAAAUUUGCACAGCAGCCUUUUAUUUGCAAAGCCAGUGCAAGUCACAGCUAGUAUCUGAUCUUUAAUUUAAAAGAAAAACUUGCUCAUGUUCUAAAACAGAGACAAAGGUGGUCAUCAUCACCUCAAGCAUCAGUGCAGGCAUCCCUACUUAAAGGUGGAAAAAGGGCAGCUUUCUGCCACAACUUAAAUUGAGCACAUACAUAUUUAUAGAUUAUCAAGAAGCAUUUCUUUUAUGUUCGUACCUUUUUGUUAGUAGUCAUGCUCUCAGCCUUGAAAGUUUCUAUCUCCUGCCAAAAAUACACCGCAUCCACUUGCAAAACUCCUCAUACAAAGAACUGCAGCGUCUAUUCCCAGCUGGGGUUUGGUACACCCUAAAUUUGAAGUUGUUCCUCUCUGCCUUUUAUCCAAAAUGGAUGCAUCCAACAUCUCAUCUGUUUUUGCAUAAAUAGCUGGCUGCUUCAGUCUUUGUGCAGGUCUCGACAGGGAAGAGCAGGCUGUGACUAAAUCACAUUUUCCUCACUCGGUAGUCACAGUAGCAUCUGUAGCAUGAGUUCUAUGUUUUAUUAUUAUUAUUGUUAUGAUUCUGCUCAUCUGCAAGUGUCUGUGUCUUUCUGAUUGUGACUGAUCUUUAUUCACAUCGAGGUCUGUGUAGACAAGAAUGAAUGAGAGGGAAUGCCAUCCAUCCAUCCAUUUUCUUAACCCCUUAUCCCAUUUGUAAUCGUCUGGAAGAGGGAAGUCUAUCCCAUUUGGCAUAGAGUGAGAGGCAAGUUUUGGACUUCACGAGGAAGCUGGAGUACCUGGAUGGAACCUUAACACGCAGAGGGAGAACUACAAAAUUCCAGAGAAGGAAUGAUUUAUAUAUAAUUCUGUAUCCUCCAGCAUUUAUAGAGUAGGACUGGCUAUAAUUAGUGGCCCAGUAGAGUACCUGCAGCAGUUUAAUAACAUUGAUGAAUUCACAACAUUUUCUUCAUAGUCAGAGAUGAAUCAGCACUUGGGUUUUGUCGAUACGGGGUCACUGCUCGUCCAUGAAUUACCAGAGAUCCUUUUUAACAUAUAAAUGCUGCAGUCCAGCACUAAAGGAUCAAUAAGCUAAGCCAAGUCUUCCCAGAAUCCUUCCUUAUACCACAGCAAUGUGGUGCAAUUAAUUUUUCACCCAUUGUCUGUGAAGGCUAUGCAAAUAUUGAAGCUUUGCUAUUCAAAUGUGGCUAUCACAAAAA